UGAGUGCGUUUUAGUUUUCAUUGUCAAGUAUUAACCUCACUUUUUUACGAAUAAAAUGUAAUAAAAAAUGUUUUUCUCGAGUCUUGUAGAGGAUGUAUUUGGUGGUAGCUUUAUCCACUUUUACCUGCCCUAAAGUGAAGUGAAAAUAGAAGUUAAAAUACGUUGGAAAAACAGUAUUCAAAAUGGCCCCAGAGGGGCGAAUUAGUUAUUACAUCGACAAAUAUGGGGUUUUUCAUAAAAGUGGUGGAAAAAACGACAAACCGGUGAAUUCAACAGCGUUUAAGACAAACGUGACAAGGCCUUCGUCGACUUGGUUGCGUUUGAUAAUAAUGUUUUGGAAUGCAAGAGUAAUGAAAGCGGCUUUUCGUUUUGGUGUCGCCGCAAUUAUCAUGAAUCAGUAUGAACGUCUGGGAUUUGCUGUCCUCUUAUUGUGUUUCACGCUUUGAUAAUUUACCAUGUAAUGUAGUUGAAUAAAUUUGUUUGUUUUUGAAA